AGAAACUUAGGAUAAUCAAAACCGAAGGCCUUCAAAGCCUUAAACAAGAGCUAGACCCUCUUAGUUUCUG
rnacentral:tRNA from 1 species